GAUGAACGCUGGCGGCGUGCCUAAUACAUGCAAGUCGAGCGAACAGAUGAGGAGCUUGCUCCUCUGACGUUAGCGGCGGACGGGUGAGUAACACGUGGAUAACCUACCUAUAAGACUGGGAUAACUUCGGGAAACCGGAGCUAAUACCAGAUAAUAUAUUGAACCGCAUGUUUCAAUAAUAAAAUACGGGUUUGCUGUCGCUUAUAGAUGGAUCCGCGCCGCAUUAGCUAGUUGGUAAGGUAACGGCUUACCAAGUCAACGAUGCGUAGCCGACCUGAGAGGGUGAUCGGCCACCCAGGAUCGGACACACGCUCCAGACUACUACGGGAGGGAGGAAGAGGGAAUGUAUCGUAAUGGGCGAAAGCAUGACGGAGCCACGCAGCGUGAGUGCAGAAGGUCUUCGGUUCGUAAAACUCUGUUCUUAGAGAAGAACAAAUGUGUAAGUAACUAUGCCUGUCUUGACGGUACGUAAGAAGAAAGCCACGGCUACCUACGU
rnacentral:rRNA from 1 species